rnacentral:rRNA from 1 species
UACGAAGGGGGCUAGCGUUGCUCGGAAUCACUGGGCGUAAAGCGCACGUAGGCGGAUUGCUAAGUCAGGGGUGAAAUCCUGGAGCUCAACUCCAGAACUGCCUUUGAUACUGAGAAGCUUGAGUCCGGGAGUGGUGAGUGGAACUGCGAGUGUAGAGGUGAAAUUCGUAGAUAUUCGCAAGAACACCAGUGGCGAAGGCGGCUCACUGGCCCGGUACUGACGCUGAGGUGCGAAAGCGUGGGGAGCAAACAGG